GCACGGAUUUGGAAACUACUGCAUGUGCACGAUUCUCAGCCUAGUUCCCUGCAGGUGAGGGAUUUUUUUUUUUUUCCAGAAAGAAAACUGUUAGCUCUGCCCUGAAGAUGAGUCCCACAGAGGUUUUGCAGGGUGGAGUUACCGAGAAAUUGACUUCGGGGAGACGAAGCUCCGACCUCCCAGGCACCAAGAUCUUUACCAACAACCCGGGAUGCUCACUGCAGGAGGGAGCGGCUCACGAGAGCCGCAGCGCUGCGCCGUUUGGAGAGGGGUCAUCCGCCCCGGAACCGACGUGAGCGCGGGGCCGGCCCGUGGAGGCGGCUGAGGGAUCCCCCACUUCCAGCCCGCCCGCUCGGAGCCGAACCCCGA